rnacentral:rRNA from 1 species
UACGUAGGGUGCGAGCGUUAAUCGGAAUUACUGGGCGUAAAGCGUGCGCAGGCGGUUUUGUAAGUCCGCUGUGAAAUCCCCGGGCUUAACCUGGGAACUGCGUUUGAAACUACAAGGCUAGAGUGUAGCAGAGGGGGGUGGAAUUCCACGUGUAGCAGUGAAAUGCGUAGAGAUGUGGAGGAACACCGAUGGCGAAGGCAGCCCCCUGGGUUAACACUGACGCUCAGGCACGAAAGCGUGGGGAGCAAACAGG